CGGUAAGGAACAAAUUUCGGCUUAAUGAUGAUCCUUUUCUCAAAAACGUCUUGGUUCUUCUCUCCCAGGUGCACCUUAAGAUCGUAUGAUUGGAUGAUCAGGUUCCUCAAAAAUACCUUCGGGACUUAAGUUGUUUUAAAUGUCUAAAUCACGAGGCAAGUUGUUUAUCGUCUGUCUUCCUCCUCGGACCAGAGGGGCUGAGCCAAAUCCUGGCUCCAUCAGUUCUAAAUGAGUAUCUUUGGAACUUUCCUGAACACCCCCAUGCCUCGGUGGGUUUAUCCAGAAGAGGAGCUCAUACGGUCCUGCCUCGCAGGCUUGUUGCGAAGAUAACGGUGAAAUCCUCAACGAAGGAGCAUGGCAAGGGCGGAGCGCUUUUACUACAAGCUGAAUAUGGGGGCCGUGAUCAUCGCCCCCAUCACUCGUUUAUCCCAUCCUUAGCGCUGAGGCUGUGUCCUCGUUCACGGCUGUAUCUUUAGCACUUAGCAGGCGCGGUAAGACUCA
rnacentral:lncRNA from 1 species